ensembl:snRNA U6 U6 spliceosomal RNA
GCACUCUUCAGCAGUACAGAUACAAAAACUGGACCAGUAUAGAGAUUAACAUGGUUCUGCACAAUGAUGACAUGAGAAUUCAUGAAGUGUUCCAUAUUUUG